rnacentral:rRNA from 1 species
UGAGGAACAUGACCUUCGGCGGGGGAUAGCCGGCCCAACGGCCGGGUAAUACUGCGUACGACCUUCCGGGGACAUCCCUGGAUGGUGAAAGCAGCAAUGCGCCGAUGGAGUGCCUCGCGGCCUAUCAGCUUGUUGGUGAGGUAAUGGCUCACCAAGGCGACGACGAGUAGCCGGCCUGAGAGGGCGAUCGGCCACACUGGGACUGAGACACGGCCCAGACCUCCGUAGGGACGG